rnacentral:rRNA from 1 species
GACGAACGCUGGCGGCGUGCUUAACACAUGCAAGUCGAACGGAAAGGCCCUGCUUUUGUGGGGUGCUCGAGUGGCGAACGGGUGAGUAACACGUGAGUAACCUGCCCUUGACUUUGGGAUAACUUCAGGAAACUGGGGCUAAUACCGGAUAGGAGCUCCUGCUGCAUGGUGGGGGUUGGAAAGUUUCGGCGGUUGGGGAUGGACUCGCGGCUUAUCAGCUUGUUGGUGGGGUAGUGGCUUACCAAGGCUUUGACGGGUAGCCGGCCUGAGAGGGUGACCGGCCACAGUGGGACUGAGAUACGGCCCAGACUGCUACGGGAGGCAGCAGUGGGGUAUAUUGCACAAUGGGCGGAAGCCUGAUGCAGCAACGCCGCGUGCGGGAUGACGGCCUUCGGGUUGUAUACCGCUUUCGCCUGUGACGAAGCGUGAGUGACGGUAAUGGGUAAAGAAGCACCGGCUAACUACGUG